AGACAAGCAGGACAAAAUAGUUCUCUGCCAGAGCAAGCAGCACUCCACAAAUAGUAGCCCUGCCCUAGACCCCAGACACAAUCUACAUUCCUUUAUGAAGUUUGCCUUUCAAGUAGCCAGGCACAAAGUUUUUGGAGCUCAUUUAUAACUGUGGUAUCCCACGUUGCUCAGAAGUCCCUAUGACCCAAAAGUGCAUGCUUCAUUCCAGGCCAGAUUUCAAACAGAUGACCAAUAUGUGAGUGUCUGCACAACAAAACAACCAGUUCAAAUGAUUCCUCAUUCCCCUGAUGCCUGAAGAACUCAAUGCUGACACACAGGUGACAUCCAACCCUGGCCAUUGUACUGAAGAAGGUAGGGUUGAAAGGACUGAUCAAGAAACACAGAGAAAAAAUUCCUUGAGACU